GUCUUCUUGUUAUAUUUAAGAAGUCUGGCCUGCCCAGUGAAAAUAAUUUAACGGCCGCGGUAUACUGACCGUGCAAAGGUAGCAUAAUCAUUAGUCUUUUAAUAGAGGGCUGGUAUGAAGGGUUUAACGAGGUGUUGACUGUCUCAUUUAAUUUGAAUUUAGAAUUUAAUUUUUUAGUUAAAAAGCUAAAAUAUUAUUGGAAGACGAGAAGACCCUAUAGAGCUUUAUAUUUUUAUUAUUAAUUUAUUUUAGUUUAUUAUUAUUUAUUAUUAAUAGAAAAUAUUUUGUUGGGGUGACAAAAAUAUAUAAAUAACUUUUUCAUUUAUUUUACAUUGAUAUAUGAAUAUUAGAUCCAAUCUUAUUGAUUGAUAGACUAAGUUACCUUAGGGAUAACAGCGUAAUCCCUCUCCAGAGUUCAUAUUUACAGAGGGGCUUGCGACCUCGAUGUUGGAUUAAGAUAAUAAUUAGGUGCAGCCGCUUAAUUAAUAGGUCUGUUCGACCUUUAAAUUCUU
rnacentral:rRNA from 1 species